rnacentral:lncRNA from 1 species
CCCGCCCCCGCCCCCGCCCCCGGCCCACCUGCCCGCCCGCCGCACCCGCGCCCCCUGGCGCCCCGGGGCGCGCACGGCCGGCGGCGGGGCGCGGAGGGGGCGCUGCUCGCGGCGGGCGGGCGGCCGGGGCUGUAGUACAGGCUGUCCCCGGCAGCCGGCGGAGUCAGCGCGCCCACGUGACGGCCCCGGCUCUCCGGUGAGCUCCCCAAACAGACGCACACCCAGCCACACGCGCGCACACACACGCACGCACCCCCGCGCGCACACGCCCGCCCGCUCUGCCUCUGCGCCCUCCAUCCCGGCUCGCUCCUUCCCUCGCCCUCUCGCCUCCCCUGCGGUCUCUCGCUCUGCGCGCACACCCCGCACACACGCACACGCACACACACGCGCGCACACACGCAGCCGGCACAGGCGGCGGCGGCGGCGGCGGCGGCGGCGGCUGCCCAAGUCAGGACGAACCUCUGUAGGCACCGUCUCGAGAAGGCGGCGGCGGCGGCGGCAGCCCGAGCAUCCCGAGCAUCCCGAGCAUCCCGAGCAUCCCGAGCAUCCCGAGCAUCCCUCGUCUCCCCGAGAGCGAGCACCGCCGAGAGUUUGCGUUCCCUUCGCCGUUCCCUUCCCCCCCCCCACCUCCUUUUCUUUAUUUCGGAGAGCGUUUCCUCCUCGCUUAUUGGUUUUAAUUUGAUUUUGAAAAUUUUGGGUUGCUUUUGUGUGUGUGCCUUUUUUUUUUUCUUUCUUUUCCCCCCUUUCCUCAUUUUAUUUGCAUCCAGAGCAUGGCGUGCUGCGGGCUGUCGGAAGACACCUUCUUCUCUUCCUUCUUUUACAACUACGGCUCCUCCUGGGAAACCCCCUCCAGCCAGCAGGAUCCCACAGGCAGAAAGGGGCAGGGGAAUACAAAUCUGAAAGGGAACUGAAAGGACACAGAAACAAUGAGGUUGUUACGAGACAAAGUAAACGAGAGCUGGAGGAGGAGCAGAAAGGCCGGGGAAUGGGUCUGGAAACUACCAUUUCCUGAGCACCUGCUAGGGGCCAGGCACUCAGGUGACUACAGGGACCCGGCAGGGAGGGACGCGGGUGGGGACGGGUGGGGGGUGUCACCCUGUCGGCUGGUCACAGCCUCCUUCGUUCCCAGAGUGUCUCUCUAAUCAACCAGUGCUGUUUCUAAUAAGCAGGAAUUUGUAUGUUGUGAACCGGGAAAUCUAUGCUGCUCGGCAGAGGCAGGUGCCUUCUCAGCUCCCAUCCAUCGUGGCCAGGUAGGAGAGCAUGAGGAGCGAUGAGCUCCGAGUGUUCAAGAGAAGAGAAUGUUCCAGGGGUGUGUGUGUGUGUGUGUGUGUGUGUGUGUGAAAUCUCCUGAUUUUUCAGCGUUGGCAACAAAACUAAAAACUUUAAAAAUUAAAUAACGCCACCUUUGAGAUGAGUGAGUGGAGCUGGUGGCUUAGGGCUUGUGUCCUGAGCGGUGCGGGACUUGGCCAGACUCACUCUCAGCCCAGCCCCACAGGCGGGGUACGCUCUUCCCUUUCACAGGAAUCAGAGGGAUUAAAUAAAUGACAAUGCACUUGGAAGAACGUGGCUUCAGCACGUCUCUCCUGGGCACCUACUACGUGCCAAGGGCCACAUGGUUCCUGGUGGGAAGAUGGAAGCAUCUGUCCCGCACAUACUUCUGGUCUACCUCGGGAUACUGGAGGAACGCGUGCAAGCGAAGGCACCACCGCAGUCUUUCAAUAACUGUGCUGAACAACAAUAAGGCCUUCCGGGAUUAAUGGUCAAGUGAAUGGCACGGACGAUCAUCAUUAGAGGAACUCGUAGGAGGGAGAGAGACCUCUCUUUGGGCUUGAUAGAGAGGAAAGCAUUUGAACAGGCAUCAGAAGGCUUGGAAUAUUCUCCACAACAGGGUGGAUGAGGAGAAGAGAAAGAGCGAGAGACCGAGGCAGCUUCUGGUUUUAGAAGAAAUCCUUCCGAGGUAGAAACAUCUCCUUGGAGGUAUGGGAUUUGACCCAGAGGGUUGGGUCACUUGCCCAUGACGGGACAGUACGUUCACGGCAAUUCCAGGCCUAGAACUUCAUGGGGCUGUUUGCACAAAUAGGUCAUUUUGUUGGACUCUAUCUUGGAUCUUCAGCAGACAAAGAGCAGGAUGGUUAUAACUGGAAUCUUCCAGUGUGACCACAGAGUGCCUAUGCCUGCUGGUGAGAUGCUUUCUAAUGCUGUCUUAAUUUUUUCCUAUUUUCUUCUGAAAAUCUUUUUUUUUUUUUCUUCAAGUGAAAGCAGUUGUGGUAGCACCUGGGUGGCAGCCACAUAGUUCCCAGGUAUGAGAGUCUGCCCAAUACCAGUUGGACAUUUAUACAUCAUCACCUGGGGCUGCUUUAAUGACUUGUAGCUUUGAAUCUGGAAGAAGUUAAAGAGAUGAUAGGAAAAAAAUUACAGCAAGUGCAGAGAGAGAAUGGAAGGCAGCAUCCAGACAACUCACUGGCUUGCAUGAAGAGUCCUAGCUGCUCCGGAGAGUGGUGAUCUUCAAACUCGAUUUUAUUAACUACAAAGCCCUGUGCUCAACUGAACUUCUCACACAAAAAAUCCCCAAGUUUAAAACAGAUGAAAAUGGUCCUCCCACGUCCUCUGUACCUAAGCCUCCCCUCAGGGUGCCUCGUUCAGCCCUAGGAGUUGGAUACCCUAGAAUCCUGGAAUCAGUUCUCUCUGAGAAAGAGAAGGAUGGAUGAGAAUGAGAGGUGGGGGAGGACAAGCGGUCUUCGCCUGUUCUCGCCCAACUACAGCUCGUCUACCCAGGGGGUGUGCAAGGGCAGCGGGAGGAGGGAAGAAGAUAUUAGGAUUUCCGUGUCCUUUUUCUUUUGUGUCACAUCCUCUUCGGGUUCUUCUUGGCUUUAUGUGUUAUCAUGCAUGUAAUAUAUUAGUGCCGUAGAAGUAAUUUAUAAUGAAGUCAUAUCACAUUGUGUUGUAAAUUAGAAAAUAUCCUGGGGGUAUGUGCUCAAGUUUAUUUUUAAUUUUACUCAUGAGGUAAGGAUCAGAACUGUUUGGAGACCGCUGUCCUGGAUUAUGACUUUCAAAUGCUAUUUUUUUAAAUAAAGAUUUUAUUUUAUUUGUUUUUAAGUCAUCCCCACCUCCAACGCAGGGCUUGAACCCACACCCCCGAGAUCACGAGUCACAUGCUCUACUGACUGAGCCAGCCAGGCACCCCUGGACUAUGACUUUCAACUUCUAGGAUUUCAGUGCUUUUCUCCAAAAGGACCUGGAUCCCACCAUGAGAGAAACAAGAAACCCAUGGGACGCCUGGGUGGCUCAGUGGUUGAGCAUCUGCCUUCGGCUUAGGUUGUGAUCCCGGGGUCCUGGGAUCGAGUCCUGCAUUGGGCUCCCUGUGAGGAACCUGCUUCUCCCUCUGCCUGGCUCAUGAAUAAAUAACUAAAAUCUUAAAACACACACACAUACACACACACGCAAACCCCAAGAAGAGAGUUUGACCGCUCACAUGCAUUCUAUAAUUUGUCAUUUAUGGCAGGGUUUGAGGACAUCAACAUUGCAGUGGUAUUUUUGAGAGGAAAUUUUUAUCACUAUAGCUCCAAAACACAUCACAAACAGAAACAAUAAUUUCAUUACCAGCUGAAAAUUGUAAUAAUGCUGUUGAAUAUAAAUUUCACUGCUGUGGUAAUUCUGAAAUACAAGGAUGAUGAAUAAAAAAUUGCUGCAGUAUUAUUGGGAAUAAACUUUAUUGCUGUGAGUAAGACCCAGUGGGAGGAUUGAUGCAGGCUAAAAUUUUGGGUGAUGCUUUUCAGCUGGUGGUCUGGGUAUUCUCAGUAGGAAUGUGUUUUUGUUUUCUC